rnacentral:rRNA from 1 species
GGGACGGAGAAGGCUAUGUUGGCCGGGCGACGGUUGUCCCGGUUUAAGCGUGUAGGCUGGUUUUCCAGGCAAAUCCGGAAAAUCAAGGCUGAGGCGUGAUGACGAGGCACUACGGUGCUGAAGCAACAAAUGCCCUGCUUCCAGGAAAAGCCUCUAAGCAUCAGGUAACAUCAAAUCGUACCCCAAACCGACACAGGUGGUCAGGUAGAGAAUACCAAGGCGCUUGAGAGAACUCGGGUGAAGGAACUAGGCAAAAUGGUGCCGUAACUUCGGGAGAAGGCACGCUGAUAUGUAGGUGAAGCGACUUGCUCGUGGAGCUGAAAUCAGUCGAAGAUACCAGCUGGCUGCAACUGUUUAUUAAAAACACAGCACUGUGCAAACACGAAAGUGGACGUAUACGGUGUGACGCCUGCCCGGUGCCGGAAGGUUAAUUGAUGGGGUUAGCGCAAGCGAAGCUCUUGAUCGAAGCCCCGGUAAACGGCGGCCGUAACUAUAACGGUCCUAAGGUAGCGAAAUUCCUUGUCGGGUAAGUUCCGACCUGCACGAAUGGCGUAAUGAUGGCCAGGCUGUCUCCACCCGAGACUCAGUGAAAUUGAACUCGCUGUGAAGAUGCAGUGUACCCGCGGCAAGACGGAAAGACCCCGUGAACCUUUACUAUAGCUUGACACUGAACAUUGAGCCUUGAUGUGUAGGAUAGGUGGGAGGCUUAGAAGUGUGGACGCCAGUCUGCAUGGAGCCGACCUUGAAAUACCACCCUUUAAUGUUUGAUGUUCUAACGUUGACCCGUAAUCCGGGUUGCGGACAGUGUCUGGUGGGUAGUUUGACUGGGGCGGUCUCCUCCUAAAGAGUAACGGAGGAGCACGAAGGUUGGCUAAUCCUGGUCGGACAUCAGGAGGUUAGUGCAAUGGCAUAAGCCAGCUUGACUGCGAGCGUGACGGCGCGAGCAGGUGCGAAAGCAGGUCAUAGUGAUCCGGUGGUUCUGAAUGGAAGGGCCAUCGCUCAACGGAUAAAAGGUACUCCGGGGAUAACAGGCUGAUACCGCCCAAGAGUUCAUAUCGACGGCGGUGUUUGGCACCUCGAUGUCGGCUCAUCACAUCCUGGGGCUGAAGUAGGUCCCAAGGGUAUGGCUGUUCGCCAUUUAAAGUGGUACGCGAGCUGGGUUUAGAACGUCGUGAGACAGUUCGGUCCCUAUCUGCCGUGGGCGCUGGAGAACUGAGGGGGGCUGCUCCUAGUACGAGAGGACCGGAGUGGACGCAUCACUGGUGUUCGGGUUGUCAUGCCAAUGGCACUGCCCGGUAGCUAAAUGCGGAAGAGAUAAGUGCUGAAAGCAUCUAAGCACGAAACUUGCCCCGAGAUGAGUUCUCCCUGACUCCUUGAGAGUCCUGAAGGAACGUUGAAGACGACGACGUUGAUAGGCCGGGUGUGUAAGCGCAGCGAUGCGUUGAGCUAACCGGUACUAAUGAACCGUGAGGCUUAACC